rnacentral:rRNA from 1 species
GACGAACGCUGGCGGCGUGCUUAACACAUGCAAGUCGAACGGAAAGGCCCCCUUGUGGGGUACUCGAGUGGCGAACGGGUGCGUAACACGUGAGUAACCUACCCUUGACUUUGGGAUAACUUCAGGAAACUGGGGCUAAUACCGGAUAGGAGCUCCUGCUGCAUGGUGGGGGUUGGAAAGUUUCGGCGGUUGGGGAUGGGCUCGCGGCUUAUCAGCUUGUUGGUGGGGUAGUGGCUCACCAAGGCUUUGACGGGUAGCCGGCCUGAGAGGGUGACCGGCCACAUUGGGACUGAGAUACGGCCCAGACUCCUACGGGAGGCAGCAGUGGGGAAUAUUGCACAAUGGGCGGAAGCCUGAUGCAGCAACGCCGCGUGCGGGAUGACGGCCUUCGGGUUGUAAACCGCUUUCGCCUGUGACGAAGCGUGAGUGACGGUAAUGGGUAAAGAAGCACCGGCUAACUACGUG